GAUGAACGCUGGCGGCGUGCCUAAUACAUGCAAGUCGAGCGAACAGACGAGGAGCUUGCUCCUCUGACGUUAGCGGCGGACGGGUGAGUAACACGUGGAUAACCUACCUAUAAGACUGGGAUAACUUCGGGAAACCGGAGCUAAUACCGGAUAAUAUAUUGAACCGCAUGGUUCAAUAGUGAAAGACGGUUUUGCUGUCACUUAUAGAUGGAUCCGCGCCGCAUUAGCUAGUUGGUAAGGUAACGGCUUACCAAGGCAACGAUGCGUAGCCGACCUGAGAGGGUGAUCGGCCACACUGGAACUGAGACGCGGUCCAGACUCCUACGGGAGGCAGCAGUAGGGAAUCGUCCGCAAUGGGCGAAAGCUUGACGGAGCAACGCCGCGUGAGUGAUGAAGGUCUUCGGAUCGUAAAACUCUGUUAUGAGGGAAGAACAAAUGUGUAAGUAACUAUGCACGUCUUGACGGUACCGAAUAAGAAAGCCACGGCUAACUACGUG
rnacentral:rRNA from 1 species